rnacentral:rRNA from 1 species
AUUGAACGCUGGCGGCAUGCCUUACACAUGCAAGUCGAACGGUAACAGGUCUUCGGAUGCUGACGAGUGGCGAACGGGUGAGUAAUACAUCGGAACGUGCCCAGACGUGGGGGAUAACGAGGCGAAAGCUUUGCUAAUACCGCAUACGAUCUAAGGAUGAAAGCAGGGGACCGCAAGGCCUUGCGCGUUUGGAGCGGCCGAUGGCAGAUUAGGUAGUUGGUGGGAUAUAAGCUUACCAAGCCGACGAUCUGUAGCUGGUCUGAGAGGACGACCAGCCACACUGGGACUGAGACACGGCCCAGACUCCUACGGGAGGCAGCAGUGGGGAAUUUUGGACAAUGGGCGAAAGCCUGAUCCAGCAAUGCCGCGUGCAGGAUGAAGGCCUUCGGGUUGUAAACUGCUUUUGUACGGAACGAAAAGGCUCUGGCUAAUACCUGGGGCACAUGACGGUACCGUAAGAAUAAGCACCGGCUAACUACGUG